GACUGACCGAUAGUGAACCAGUACCGUGAGGGAAAGGCGAAAAGAACCCCGGCGAGGGGAGUGAAAAAGAACCUGAAACCGUGUACGUACAAGCAGUGGGAGCACGCUUAGGCGUGUGACUGCGUACCUUUUGUAUAAUGGGUCAGCGACUUAUAUUCUGUAGCAAGGUUAACCGAAUAGGGGAGCCGAAGGGAAACCGAGUCUUAACUGGGCGUUAAGUUGCAGGGUAUAGACCCGAAACCCGGUGAUCUAGCCAUGGGCAGGUUGAAGGUUGGGUAACACUAACUGGAGGACCGAACCGACUAAUGUUGAAAAAUUAGCGGAUGACUUGUGGCUGGGGGUGAAAGGCCAAUCAAACCGGGAGAUAGCUGGUUCUCCCCGAAAGCUAUUUAGGUAGCGCCUCGUGAAUUCAUCUCCGGGGGUAGAGCACUGUUUCGGCAAGGGGGUCAUCCCGACUUACCAACCCGAUGCAAACUGCGAAUACCGGAGAAUGUUAUCACGGGAGACACACGGCGGGUGCUAACGUCCGUCGUGAAGAGGGAAACAACCCAGACCGCCAGCUAAGGUCCCAAAGUCAUGGUUAAGUGGGAAACGAUGUGGGAAGGCCCAGACAGCCAGGAUGUUGGCUUAGAAGCAGCCAUCAUUUAAAGAAAGCGUAAUAGCUCACUGGUCGAGUCGGCCUGCGCGGAAGAUGUAACGGGGCUAAACCAUG
rnacentral:rRNA from 1 species